rnacentral:rRNA from 1 species
UUACGGCCAUAUCACGCUGAAACACCGAUACUUGUACGAUCACCGAAGUUAAGCAACGUCGAGCCUGAUCAGUAGUUAGAUGGGUGACCGCUUGGGAAUAAGUGCUG